UAGCGUAAUUCAUAGACUACAGUUUAUUAUAUAACAAUGAUUUGGGAAAAAGUUUUUUUUACAUUUCCAUUUUUCAUAUUGAAUUCUUACUGGCAUGCGCAUGAUCCCAAUAGAGUGGGAAGGUUCAAUAUACUCAGUGAUAUUUAUUCAACAUAUUCAGCGAUCUAAUUCGAAAACAUUAAACGAUAGAGCUACAGGUAAUGUUCGUCUGGAUUUUCCACGAGUGACGAGUGAAUAUUUUAAAAAUAUUUAAUCUACAUAGUUGAUAUAGCAGGUUCACGCUUGCGCGGUACGAUGAUUAAUGUGUUCUUUCGGCAAUCAAACGACAGGUAUUAUGUUCUUAAAAUUUUAGCCAUAGAAAAACAGAUCUGCAGGCGGCAAUGACGUCGCGACAGUUCCAGUCGUGGUCAUCAAACAUCAGAUCAGUCACCGCUCGUUGGACACUUAACAGUCCAGACAAGACGAAGAUAUAACAAAAACGGCAAGAUCUGAUUUUUAAUUUAUGAAGUGGAUAAACAUGAUGAUCUCAAGAACAUAUAUAUUUUUAAUGGUUUUAUUUUCGUAACUCAAAAUCAAAUUAAUUUGAAUACAAGCGGUGAUCUUUUAAUAAAACUAUGCUUUUUCUUAUAAAUAUAAAUCUAUAUAAUCCUUAUUCUGGGUCUAUUGAACAUUGACAAUAUUUAUACAUAUAUAUAUUUAAUUCUACUGUACAUGUGUAUGUCACUGAACUCUUUCUAAACGGCUGGACCUAAUCGAAUGCAUUUUUUUGUAUGCAUUUGGGUGAUACCCUGGAUGGUGUUAUAAAUUCACAAAUCAGCUCAGCAAAUGGCGCUGCAGCCAAUAUCCAGGUUAUAUACUAUAUAAUAUAAUAAAUAGGAAUUAUUUGAUUGUUUGCAUUUAAUGGACUACGAAAUUACUGGACAGAUUUGAAAAAUUCUUUUACCGCUAGGAAGCUACACUAUCCCCGGGUGACAUAGGAUAUAUUAUAUUUUCAAAAAUAUUAGGGUUCCUUACUACAACUCCAAUAAUGUAACCCAAAAUGUAUCCUUAAAUAAAUAUAUGUAUCGUUUGCUUGUUCGCAAAAAUCUACUGGAUCACUCAAUCACUACAAUCAUUCUUUUACCAUUAAAAUGCUACCUUAUCCAUGAGUAAUAUGGGCUAGGAGGUUUUCUCACACUUCAAAAACUAAGAUAUCGCCACGUGGUUUGACUUUUUGUACGGCAAUGUAUAGCAAAGCCUCCUGUAGCUCGGUACAUCGAUCAAAAUAUCGGCUCUCCUCAAAUUUCCAUAGAUUUCCACCUAUAAGAGAGGUAAGGGACAAGUUCAAAAGUUAAAAAGUACAUAAGAAGCGGUAUGAGAGAGGUAUUUGUGAUCGCGCAUGUCUAGAUCAUGACCGAAACUAACUAAAAGAAGAUUUAAUUUAUAUGGUGAUUUCGUUUGAAAACUUAACGUAAGAAUGUUAAUUAUCGAAGUAGUUAUAAACAUUACAUUUUAAGCUUAUAUGGCUGUAAAUGAAAAACACAAUAUUCAUUACGUCCAUGU